AUGGCUCAGGAUAAACGCUGGCGGCGCACAUAAGACAUGCAAGUCGAACGAACUUAACCUUAGUUUACUAAUGGAGCGGUUAGUGGCGGACUGGUGAGUAACGCGUGAGCAACCUGCCUAUCAGAGGGGAACAACAGUUAGAAAUGACUGCUAAUACCGCAUAUACCUAAGCAUCACAUGAUGCAAUAGGGAAAGAAGCAAUUCGCUGAUAGAUGGGCUCGCGUCUGAUUAGAUAGUUGGUGGGGUAACGGCCUACCAAGUCAACGAUCAGUAGCCGGACUGAGAGGUUCAACGGCCACAUUGGGACUGAGAUACGGCCCAGACUCCUACGGGAGGCAGCAGUCGGGAAUAUUGCGCAAUGGAGGAAACUCCUGACGCAGUGACGCCGCGUGCAGGAAGAAGGUUUUCGGAUUGUAAACUGCUUUAGACAGGGAAGAAAAAGACAGUACCUGUAGAAUAAGCUCCGGCUAACUACGUGCCAGCAGCCGC
rnacentral:rRNA from 1 species